rnacentral:lncRNA from 1 species
GAACUUCUGGGGAUUUCAGUCUAGGGUUCAAAAUCUCCAUUUAUACACCUGGAGGACAAUAUGAAAGGCCCCUGGUGCCCUAAAUAAUCAUGACUAUUGUAAUAGAGACUUUGGAGAGUGCCCAGAUCUUCUAAGAUGGAGAUAUUCUUUGUCCUCUACCAUGUGGGAAGGUGUAGACUCCUUUGAUUGAUUGUGAACAGGCUGUAUCUUUCAACAAGUUACCCAAGUGGAUUCCAAGAGCCCUGAGAAGUGAGAAAGCUCCCCAGGUGUACUGCCAUAUAUGCAGUAUCAGGGUUACACAUUAAGUCGCACAUGAAAUAAACUCUAUCUUGAAAGCCA